CUAAGCCAUCAACAUCUACAGACGCUUUAUAUGACAAAAAAGGGGUCAAGAAGUCAAGUUCUUCAUCUGUAACAAAUGUUAAAAGUCCUACAAAAACAAAAGAAAAUCAACCUGUAUCACCUCAAAGAUAUAGCAGAUCAAGGCGUUCAACUUGUAUGAAAUUUGUUGGUAGAAGAAUACUUCAUAAAUGGGAAACUGAUGUUGGUCAAGAAGAGUGGUACUCAGGAAUUGUUAUUGGUGUUUCCAGAGGGAAAGAUGGAAAUAAAAAUGCUGUGUACCAAGUGCAGUAUAAAAAUGAAAAUGACAUUUAUGAUGUAGAAGAACUGUAUAAAGAUUAUGAGGAGGGGAAUUUGCGAUUUGAUGAUUUAUGAGCAAACCAGAUAACAGAUUAUAACAGUAUGAUGUUCAUAUUUACCCACCAUACUUUUAUCAUGGACUACUUUAUUUUGACAGCUGAUUAUGUAAUAGUGUACUGAAAUUUUUAAAACAGUGACUUCAAAACAGUGAACUUUUUACAUACUUUAAACAACUUUGAACAAUAUUUUUUUGGUGGAGCAUCUAAGGAAGAUGUUAUAGAUAAAAACCAGUGUUUUUAAAUCUUAAUUUUUGGAUUGACAACUUCAGGAAAUUGGCAUAAAAAAGACACUUCUUGUACAAGGUAAAACUUCAAAACAUU